CACGUACGUCCUAGUCCUACACAUAAUCACAUAUAUUUAUUCUCCUGCUAAAGCUCUACUGAUAAUGACGGGACAUCCUGCCAAAGAAUAAAUUAAAUGCUAAUGGCUUACAGGCAUAUGGCUGGCCGCUCUGCCACGAACACUGGCCUAAUCUUGAUUAACAAAUCAAACAAAACUAUUGCGAUGUUUCUCAGCCGUUGGCUUACUAGCUAGUAGGAGGAGCAGAUAGAACUGAUAGACUAUUAUAACAAACUGGAGGCUCAGGAAGUCAGGAUAAGGCUCAAUGAUGAUCACUUAAUUAGUUAAGCUGAUCAGCAGAUGUCACCCAAAUUGAUUAUUUGUAUACAGUUCUUUAAUCAGUACGCUACUCACACAGCCAGUGACAUUUUCAGCCACUUGAUUAAAAACACACUGAAACAAAACACGCAGCCUAAUCUCUUCCCAACAACCACCACCCUCCGACCUAACUUAAAAACUGUAAUCAAAUACCUAAAUGUUAGCAUGUCGUCGAUCAUCUUACUGUUUCUGCACUGAUCAAAAGCACCAUUUGUAAAUUGUAUAUAAUCAUAUGACAACAAUUGGUAUGUAUAAAAUCGUAACCCACUUGAACAGUCUGAAACUCUGAAUGUCUUACAUCGACUGCUUUGCUUGUCUUGUCGUCUGUGUGAUUGCAGUGGA
rnacentral:lncRNA from 1 species